rnacentral:rRNA from 1 species
ACCAGACUCCUACGGGAGGCAGCAGUCGAGAAUCAUUCACAAUGGGGGAAACCCUGAUGCAGCGACGCCGCGUGAGUGAAGAAGUAUUUCGGUAUGUAAAGCUCUAUCAGCAGGAACGAGACAAGACGGUACCUGACUAAGAAGCCCCGGCUAACUACGUGCCAGCAGCCGCGGUAAUACGUAGGGGGCAAGCGUUAUCCGGAAUCACUGGGUGUAAAGGGAGCGUAGACGGCUGUGCAAGCCUGAAGUGAAAGGCGGGGGCCCAACCCCUGGACUGCUUUGGGAACUGUACGGCUGGAGUGCAGGAGAGGUAAGUGGAAUUCCUAGUGUAGCGGUGAAAUGCGUAGAUAUUAGGAGGAACACCAGUGGCGAAGGCGGCUUACUGGACUGUAACUGACGUUGAGGCUCGAAAGCGUGGGGAGCAAACAGGAUUAGAUACCCCCGUA